UUACGGGAGGCAGCAGUGGGGAAUUUUGGACAAUGGGCGAAAGCCUGAUCCAGCAAUGCCGCGUGCAGGAUGAAGGCCUUAGGGUUGUAAACUGCUUUUGUACGGAACGAAACGGCUCCUUCUAAUACAAGGGGCUAAUGACGGUACCGUAAGAACAAGCACCGGCUAACUACGUGCCAGCAGCCGCGGUAAUA
rnacentral:rRNA from 1 species